rnacentral:pre_miRNA from 1 species
AUAAUACUCCGUCCGUCCGGAAUUACAUGUCAUCAAAAUGGAUGUGUCUAGAACUAAAAUACAUCCAGAUACAUCCAUUUCAAUGACAAGUAUUUUCGGACGGAGGGAGUAGUAG